UUUUGAAAGUGGAAGAGUCUGCUGGCGGGAAGGGAGAAGAGUGGGAGGAGGAAAUAAGCAACAGGCAGCUUCCUUUCUUGACAGAUGGAAAAUAAAGGGCCUGUGCACAGCUCGGCGAACUGCUCCGUGGACCUCCCAGCGGGGCUGCUUUCUGAGGUGAUGGUCUCCUCGCUCCUUAGCCAGCCUGGUGGAGCCAGCUACUGACGUUGGAAAGGAGUUGGAGGAUGGAGCACCAGAUACUGCUACACCAUCUCAUUGGCAUGGACCUAUAUGUGGCAGCAAGUCCAUCUCAUCGCUUUUGGUGAAAGUCAGUCCAGUUUGUAAAGAUUCUCAUUACUCCUUGGUGACGGUCGAUUCUAGGGAAGUAACAUUGAUAUAAAUCCAAGUGGAGGGAGAAGUUUUCUCCUUCAUGUCCCCUUCCCAAACAACCUAGCUUAGUUCAUCAGCUUCUGUUGACAUUAUUUAUAAAUGCUAAUGAACUCAUAAGUGCUAAUUAAUAACUCCAUGUGCUGCUAUUUACUAGCAAAUAUAGGAAUCCAGGUGCAGUAUAGACCUGUCCCCAAAUACAGUACAUUUCUUCAUCUCUGAGCCAAGUAGCAUGUCUGGGAUGACUCUGUUCCAAUACUGCCGAAGUCAGUGCCAUACACACUUAAAAAAUACACCCAGGAGCUACACUUAAACUCUCAUAACAGCAUCAUCUUCUUAUUACCCACUUAGAUAAGAAACCAGGGUCAAGUCCAGCUGUAUUAGUCAGGGUUCUCCAGAGAAACAGAACCAAUAGGAUAUAUAUAUAUAUAGCUCUAUAGAAUGAGAUUUGUUAUGAGGCUGAGAAGUCCCGCAAUCUGCUGUCUGCAAGCUGGAGGCACAAGAAAGCUGGUGGUGCAGUUCCAUUCCAAACCCAAAAGCCUGAAAACCGGGGGAGCCAAUGAUGCCUUGGAAAGUGUUCCAGAAAUGGACUUUUUGCAGUAUGAUGACCUGCAAAAGCAGCCCUUCCAUUUACGUUUCAAACUCCAAGUCAGCCGUGUCAAAGUUUGAACCAGGACUGUGGAGGAUAAUGGGUCAGAUGCAAUUAGCAGCCCAGAGAACCGCACGUUGCAGUCUGAUUUAUUUUUUUGCCCAUCAGAUUCCAAGAAUCCUAGUGCUUAAAAGCAACUAAACAAUCGCUCUAUUGUACUGAAAUAAAGCCCGGUUAAUUCAGAAAUCAAUUGCACCACCAGGUGGGGCACACUCUGGCCCCAAACAGAUGGGGUUGAAAACUCCCCCCAAAAUGCAGUCUUGUUAAAUUAAAAACUUGAUCCAG
rnacentral:lncRNA from 1 species